rnacentral:rRNA from 1 species
GAUGAACGCUGGCGGCGUGCCUAAUACAUGCAAGUCGAGCGAACAGACGAGGAGCUUGCUCCUCUGACGUUAGCGGCGGACGGGUGAGUAACACGUGGAUAACCUACCUAUAAGACUGGGAUAACUUCGGGAAACCGGAGCUAAUACCGGAUAAUAUUUUGAACCGCAUGGUUCAAUAGUGAAAGAUGGCUUUGCUAUCACUUAUAGAUGGAUCCGCGCCGUAUUAGCUAGUUGGUAAGGUAACGGCUUACCAAGGCAACGAUACGUAGCCGACCUGAGAGGGUGAUCGGCCACACUGGAACUGAGACACGGUCCAGACUCCUACGGGAGGCAGCAGUAGGGAAUCUUCCGCAAUGGGCGAAAGCCUGACGGAGCAACGCCGCGUGAGUGAUGAAGGUCUUCGGAUCGUAAAACUCUGUUAUUAGGGAAGAACAAACGUGUAAGUAACUAUGCACGUCUUGACGGUACCUAAUCAGAAAGCCACGGCUAACUACGUG